AUUUAUUCUCUUAUAAAUCUAGAACAAGAAAAGGAGAAAGACAGGGAUGGCAGAGUCUACUCUGAGAUGCCACGAGGCAGAGGUGGAGCAGAGAGAUCCUGUGGAGCCUCAAUAACAUAUGCAGCCUGUUGGACCUUUGUUGAGGCAACCUUUUCUCAGCGUCUCAGUGGUCUUCAGUUCUCAGCAAGCCACUGAAGUGGGCUUUUCUCUGCUUCUCACCACUGC
rnacentral:lncRNA from 1 species